rnacentral:snRNA from 1 species
GAUACCAUCAUUCAAUAAGUCAUCAGGUAGCAUUGGAAUGGUACGGAGAAGAUUAGCUGGCUCCUGUGUAAGGAUUGUAAAUACAAACCGAGAAAUGCUCCAAAUAAGU